CUCUAGCUUUGCUUUUCAGUUCUCUUUGUUAUCUGUUGUCAUUAAAGAAAAAAAGUUGAAAAUGAAGACAUUGCAUUGACAAAGCAAAUUCAAUUUUGCUUAGCCAUUAAGAAGCUUUUUACAACUUUAGUAAAGAAGAGACGGUUAUAUAAAGAAGAUGUCUGUCAUAACUUACUCUGCCCCCUCCCCUCUUUUCCCACCAAUUCUCUUCUUCUUGUGUGUUCGCAUACCGAAAAAAGAAAAGUGGAUGGUCACACAGACAAAGACAUGGGUAUGAAGAGAAGUGCUUCUUCUGCUUUAUCCAGACAAGAAUCUAUUCUUGACACAAGCCCUCUAGACCCUUCUUUCGAUCUCACCAAUCGGGGAUUACACCAGUGAGUUAAGAGAUAGUCUUUUGUGGUCUGAGGGCUUGAUUCCGACUGGAUGUUUUCGCGAUGCACAGUCCUCAAUCUGCGAGAAUCUGUCAGCUGAUAGUCCAGUGUCAGCCAAUAAACCUGAGGCAAGAGGAGGAGCUCGGAGAACCACGAGUGCAUCUUCUCAUGAUCACUCUGAUGAAGAAGAUGCAGAGACAGAAGCUGGUCAAUCUGAAAUGACAAAUGUUCCUAAUGAUCUAAAACGUAUUAGAAGGUGUAUUGGAUACUGUGAAAAUUUGUAAAACACUGAGAGAUAGGAAAAGACACAUAGAAGGUGACCACUCUUCUUUUUUUUUUGUGAUGUGAACUCAGGAUGUAUUCAAACAGGGAAUCAGCAAGGCGGUCGAGGAGAAGGAAGCAAGAGUACUUGGUAGAUCAUGAAUCUCAGGGAAGGUUAACACAAAUAGCUGGUUUGAGGAUUUGAUUCAGGAGUAAUGUUUUGAUGGUGACGUCGUGUUUUUGUCAAGGUUUGAUUCUUUGAAAGGAGAGAACUCGACACUGUACAAGCAGCUCAUAGACGCAAGCGCUGGAACAAAUAACAGAGUUCUCAAAUCAGAUGUUGAAACUCUGAGAGUCAAGGUGAAACUAGCAGAAGAUUUGGUAGUUGGAGGUUCCCUCACUAGCAGCUUGAAUCAACUUUUACAAACCUAUCUAAGUCCACCACCACACUCCAUCAACAGCCUGCAGUCCACAGUGACCAAUCUUUGUUCCCUGGAAUGACACUUUCUGGGCAGACCUCAAGCCCUGGACUUGGUAAUGUAUCCAGUGAAGCUGUUAGCUGUGUCUCAGACAUCUGGCCAUGACUCUCUUUCUUCACAACAUGUAAUGAUCACUCAGCUAAUUAAAGCCAAAGUGUUCGUUAAAUGAACUCUAGUUUCGUUAACAGUUCCAGGAACCUUAACUUGGAAGAAUGGAAAAAAAAAAAACUAUUUCAA